rnacentral:rRNA from 1 species
AGACCCGAAACCCGGUGAUCUAGCCAUGGGCAGGUUGAAGGUUGGGUAACACUAACUGGAGGACCGAACCGACUAAUGUUGAAAAAUUAGCGGAUGACCUGUGGCUGGGGGUGAAAGGCCAAUCAAACCGGGAGAUAGCUGGUUCUCCCCGAAAGCUAUUUAGGUAGCGCCUCGUGAAUUCAUCUCCGGGGGUAGAGCACUGUUUCGGCUAGGGGGCCAUCCCGGCUUACCAACCCGAUGCAAACUGCGAAUACCGGAGAAUGUUAUCACGGGAGACACACGGCGGGUGCUAACGUCCGUCGUGAAGAGGGAAACAACCCAGACCGCCAGCUAAGGUCCCAAAGUCAUGGUUAAGUGGGAAACGAUGUGGGAAGGCCCAGACAGCCAGGAUGUUGGCUUAGAAGCAGCCAUCAUUUAAAGAAAGCGUAAUAGCUCACUGGUCGAGUCGGCCUGCGCGGAAGAUGUAACGGGGCUAAACCAUGCACCGAAGCUGCGGCAGCGACGCUGAUGCGUUGUUGGGUAGGGGAGCGUUCUGUAAGCCUGCGAAGGUGGCCUGUGAGGGUUGCUGGAGGUAUCAGAAGUGCGAAUGCUGACAUAAGUAACGAUAAAGCGGGUGAAAAGCCCGCUCGCCGGAAGACCAAGGGUUCCUGUCCAACGUUAAUCGGGGCAGGGUGAGUCGACCCCUAAGGCGAGGCCGAAAGGCGUAGUCGAUGGGAAACGGGUUAAUAUUCCCGUACUUGGUGUUACUGCGAAGGGGGGACGGAGAAGGCUAUGUUGGCCGGGCGACGGUUGUCCCGGUUUAAGCGUGUAGGUGUGUGUUCCAGGUAAAUCCGGUUCACUUUAACACUGAGGCGUGACGACGAGGCACUACGGUGCUGAAGCAACAAAUGCCCUGCUUCCAGGAAAAGCCUCUAAGCAUCAGGUAACAUCAAAUCGUACCCCAAACCGACACAGGUGGUCAGG